rnacentral:sRNA from 1 species
GCUGGGUGCAGUGGCGCAUGUCUGUAAUCCCAGCAGCUUGGGAGCUGAGGCAGGGGGAUCUUGAGUUCAAAGCUAGCUUCAGCAACAACGAGGCAGGUGCUAAGCAUCUCAGUGAGACCCUGUAUCUA